UACGUAGGGACCUAGCGUUGUCCGGAAUCAUUGGGCGUAAAGCGCGCGUAGGCGGCCCGGUAAGUCCGUUGUAAAAGUCGAAGGCUCAACCUUCGAAAGCCGAUGGAUACUGCCGGGCUAGAGUCCGGAAGAGGCGAGUAGAAUUCCUGGUGUAGCGGUGGAAUGCGCAGAUAUCAGGAGGAAUACCCAUAGCGAAGGCAGCUCGCUGGGACGGUACUGACGCUGAGGCGCGAAAGCGUGGGGAGCGAACAGGAUUAGAAACCCCCGUAGUCC
rnacentral:rRNA from 1 species